UCGACCACAGUUGCUUAAUCAUAGUCUAGCUACAAGUAAAUUUUACAAGUAUAUUUUCAGCAAAUUAUUGUAAAUUUAAAAAUCUACGUUUCCGUUCAAGUUAAACACAAUUUUAGAGUUCUAAAAAAUAUCGAAAAAGUUUUGUGAGUUCAAUUCAGUACACAAAGCUUAAAGUACAAGGCAGUCAACUUGAUAAAUGUCACAAGUAUUACGUGCAAUUAAUUUGUGUGUGUCGUUAACUUCUUGGCCAAAGUCUAAAACGAUGAUUGAGUCGAACAUUCAAACGUCAUAGAAAAACGUAUAUAUUAUGGGACAGUGACACUUCUAAUAACGAUAAUUAUCAUAAUAAAAUAAUAUACAAGACGAGAGGAGUGGUCGAACUAAUAAGGAUUUUUUUUUAAACAAGGAUUUCGUAACGGCGUAGAUACGGUCGA